GUGUCAGCAGCCGCGGUAAUACCCGCAGCACGAGUGGUGGUCAUUUUUAUUGGGCCUAAAGCGUCCGUAGCCGGUUUGGUAAAUGCCUGGGUAAAUCGAUGCGCUCAACGUAUCGAAUUCCGGGUAGACUGCCAGACUAGAGACCGGGAGAGGUGUGGGGUACUCGAGGGGUAGGGGUAAAAUCCUGUAAUCCUUCGGGGACCACCAGUGGCGAAGGCGCCACACUAGAACGGUUCUGACGGUGAGGGACGAAGCCCUGGGGCGCAAACCGGAUUAGAUACCCGGGUAGUCCAGGGUGUAAACGCUGCUGACUUGGUGUCGGAGGUCCUACGAGGGCUUUCGGUGCCGGAGAGAAGUUGUUAAGUCAGCCGCCUGGGGAGUACGAUCGCAAGAUUGAAACUUAAAUGAAUUGACGGGG
rnacentral:rRNA from 1 species